AUGUUAUGAAGACACUGAGGUGCCGGCGGUUUUUGGACUGCCGGAUAAUUGGGAAGCCGGUUGAAACCCGGCGCUGCCCCCGCAACGGUAACAGAAUUGACGGCGACGAAUGACCACUGGGCGAGAUCGGCCCGGGAAGGUGUCGCCAGGUCCGGAAGGACAGUCUGGAGCCCGGAAACCAGCCUCGGAAAACACUCGACU
rnacentral:ncRNA from 2 species